CGAGUUUGAUCCUGGCUCAGGAUGAACGCUAGCGGCAGGCUUAACACAUGCAAGUCGAGGGGUAUAGUAGCAAUACUAGAGACCGGCGCACGGGUGCGUAACGCGUAUGCAACCUACCUUUACAGAGGGAUAGCCCAGAGAAAUUUGGAUUAAUACCUCAUAGUGUUAUUAGAUGGCAUCAUUUGAUAACUAAAGUUCCAACGGUAAAAGAUGGGCAUGCGUCCUAUUAGCUAGAUGGUAAGGUAACGGCUUACCAUGGCUACGAUAGGUAGGGGGUCCUGAGAGGGAGAUCCCCCACACUGGUACUGAGACACGGACCAGACUCCUACGGGAGGCAGCAGUGAGGAAUAUUGGACAAUGGGCGCAAGCCUGAUCCAGCCAUGCCGCGUGCAGGAAGAAGCAUCUAUGGUGUGUAAACUGCUUUUGUACGGGAAGAAACACUCCUACGUGUAGGAGCUUGACGGUACCGUAAGAAUAAGGAUCGGCUAACUCCGUG
rnacentral:rRNA from 1 species